GAUGAACGCUGGCGGCGUGCCUAAUACAUGCAAGUCGAGCGAACAGACGAGGAGCUUGCUCCUCUGACGUUAGCGGCGGACGUGUGAGUAACACGUGGAUAACCCACCUAUAAGACUGGGAUAACUUCGGGAAACCGGAGCUAAUACCGGAUAAUAUAUUGAACCGCAUGGUUCAAUAGUGAAAGACGGUUUUGCUGUCACUUAUCGAUGGAUCCGCGCCGCAUUAGCUAGUUGGUAAGGUAACGGCUUACCAAGGCAACGAUGCGUAGCCGACCUGAGAGAGGGAUCGGCCACACUGGAACUGAAACACGGUCCAGACUCCUACGAGAGGCAGCAGUAGGGAAUCUUCCGCAAUGGGCGAAAGCCUGACAGAGUAACGCGGCGUGAGUGAUGAAGGUCUUCGGAUCGUAAAACUCUGUUAUUAGGGAAGAACAAAUGUGUAAGUAAAUGUGGACGUCUUGACGGUACCUAAUCAGGAAGCCACGGCUAACUACGUG
rnacentral:rRNA from 1 species